UUGUUGUUGGUUCGGACAAGAAAAAAACAUUGUGUUUCCGCUUGGUCAAACUCGACUGAUUAAAAAACAACAAAAAUGAAAAAAAUAAAAUAAAAUAAAAAAAAGACGUUAGACGAACUAACUCCAUUGGACGCACAUUAAAAGAAUCGCUGGGCGAACAACAAUCAAACGAUUCAUUUUUAGACGGACGUCUACGCCACCUGUUGAGCGCCACAGGGACCACGAUCAAGGACACGUUCCCUCUCGUGAACCCAUCGCCUUUGUCCCUUGGUUCGUUUUUUGGUUUUUCCCGAAACGAAAAUUGAACAAUACAUUUUAAAGGGAAAAGAUUCGGGAGAGAGAAAAAAGGGAGAGAGAGAGUAUCUUCCCCCCGGAGAGUCCAAACGUGAGCGCCAUCUUACACGCCGACCGAUGACCACUUUCGUCUGCUUGGCCUGGCGAGUUGAUUCGAUUAUUUUUGUCCAAAAGAGAGAAAGAAAAAACGAAAAAGAAAUAAACUUCUUUUUUGAUUAUAUUGAGAGAGAGAGAGAGAGGGUAGAGCUGGGUGGAUGAGGAGAUAUCCACCCUCUUUAUCUUUUUCUUCCGUUUUAUGUCGAAUGUUUUCGGCGUUUGUUGUGAAGCCGGGAGACCGAAAAACACCAAGAGCCCCAGCCAGCCAGUCAGCCAGCCAGCCAGCAAUUUGGCCGCGUAUAUAGCGUGAGCGUGAGCUGCGCUGCCCCUGUCUGACUGUGGAAAUGUAGGACGCGGUUCGGAUCAACUCGUGUGUUUUCUUUUCCCGUUUUUCCUUUUUUCUUUUUUCUUUCUUCUUCUUCUUCUUGAGAGUUCGACGAGUUGUGAACCCGCCUCCAGCUCGGGCAUAUGUAGCCCUUUGUCCCAGUGUAUAUUUACUGCGUGCAUAGCUCUCUCUCUCACUCUGCAGUUGCUUGAUAUAUAAAUGAAAAAAUACAAUAUCAUAAAAUGUA